rnacentral:misc_RNA from 1 species
GAUGAAGAACGUAGCGAAAUGGGAUAAGUAAUGUGAAUUGCAGAAUUCAGUGAAUCAUCGAAUCUUUGAACGCACAUUGCGCCCGCCAGCAUUCUGGCGGGCAUGCCUGUUCGAGCGUCAUUUCAACCCUCGAGCCCCCCCGGGGGCCUCGGUGUUGGGGGACGGCACACCAGCCGCCCCCGAAAUGCAGUGGCGACCCCGCCGCAGCCUCCCCUGCGUAGUAGCACACACCUCGCACCGGAGCGCGGAGGCGGUCACGCCGUAAAACGCCCAACUUUCUUAGAGUUGACCUCGGAUCAGGUAGGAAUACCCGCUGAACUUAAGCAUAUCAAUAAGCGGAGGA